rnacentral:tRNA from 1 species
UCUCUGUUAGUAUAUCGGUUAGUACACGCGCUUGUCAGUCCCGAUCAUGAGCGUAAUGUUCGCGCGAAAGCGGGGUUCGACUCCCCGACAGAGAG